GAGCAAAGUCUAUGCAGUUCUUGAAGCAGAAUUUCAAAAUGAAGGAAACUUAUCUUUUUUAAUAACCUGUUCGAUAAUGUUUUCAACGUUACAUACGUCAUCAAACACACAGAUUCGUUAUAACUCUGAGGUUAUAUAACAAUAAAUGUGAUAAGUGAAUUGACUUUUUACUUAAAUAUUAAACUGGGUAACCGAUAACUCUUUCUCAGGAAAUAUGGAAGCCGCGUUAUCGAACAAAGGAUGCAUUUAGAACAAACUCUUAUAAAAAACAAUAUUACUUUAAAAAUAAAAUUUACAAUUAAAUUGCAUCACGGAUAAAAUACGUUCGCCAUGCAGACCAGGAAUUUUUUUUGUUAUAAGUUUUUAAAUUGAAUUUUGUAAAAUAAACAACAUAGUUUAUCCGGAAAAUGUUUUCUUUUUCAGUUUUCCACUAUUCGUUAGCGUGAAUUUUUUCAUUAAAUGAAUUUAGGUUGAAACGCAUCGCGUUUUCUUUUGAUUUAGAUUUUUUUCUUAAUCAUGCAGUUAAUUAUAAGUAUGAUGUGAAACCUUUUAGAUGAAACAGAAGUGUUACUGCAUGUUUAUUAUUCACGUUCCGUUCUACAGAAAGAUUAGUGAUUUACUAAUCAAUUUUAAGAAAAACGAAACUCAUUGCUUUUUUUUUAAUAUUGGUGGUCAAAAAGAUUUAUUACGAUGCUGUUGAAUUACAACAAUUGAUAACAGGAACAAUUUGAAAUCAAAUGAAG